GGUCCCGUAGCUCAGCUGGAUAGAGCACCGGCCUUCUAAGCCGACGGUCACUGGUUCGAAUCCAGUCGGGAUCGCCA
rnacentral:tRNA from 16 species